AGAGUUUGAUCCUGGCUCAGGAUGAACGCUGGCGGCGUGCUUAACACAUGCAAGUCGAACGCUGAAGCUCCCAGCUUGCUGGGGGUGGAUGAGUGGCGAACGGGUGAGUAUCACGUGAGUAACCUGCCCUUGACUCUGGGAUAAGCCCGGGAAACUGGGUCUAAUACUGGAUAGGACUGGCCAUCGCAUGGUGGUUGGUUGAAAGCUUUUGCGGUUUUGGAUGGACUCGCGGCCUAUCAGCUUGUUGGUGGGGUAAUGGCCUACCAAGGCUUUGACGGGUAGCCGGCCUGAGAGGGUGACCGGCCACACUGGGACUGAGACACGGCCCAGACUCCUACGGGAGGCAGCAGUGGGGGAUAUUGCACAAUGGGCGCAAGCCUGAUGCAGCGACGCCGCGUGAGGGAUGACGGCCUUCGGGUUGUAAACCUCUUUCAGUUGGGAAGAAGCCUUUCGGGGUGACGGUACCUUCAGAAGAAGCACCGGCUAACUACGUGCCAGCAGCCGCGGUAAUACGUAGGGUGCGAGCGUUAUCCGGAAUUAUUGGGCGUAAAGAGCUCGUAGGCGGUUUGUCACGUCUGCUGUGAAAGCUCGGGGCUUAACUCCGAGUGUGCAGUGGGUACGGGCAGGCUGGA
rnacentral:rRNA from 1 species